UGCAAGUCGAGCGGAGAUGAGGUGCUUGCACCUUAUCUUAGCGGCGGACGGGUGAGUAAUGCUUAGGAAUCUGCCUAUUAGUGGGGGACAACAUUCCGAAAGGAAUGCUAAUACCGCAUACGCCCUACGGGGGAAAGCAGGGGAUCUUCGGACCUUGCGCUAAUAGAUGAGCCUAAGUCGGAUUAGCUAGUUGGUGGGGUAAAGGCCUACCAAGGCGACGAUCUGUAGCGGGUCUGAGAGGAUGAUCCGCCACACUGGGACUGAGACACGGCCCAGACUCCUACGGGAGGCAGCAGUGGGGAAUAUUGGACAAUGGGCGGAAGCCUGAUCCAGCCAUGCCGCGUGUGUGAAGAAGGCCUUUUGGUUGUAAAGCACUUUAAGCGAGGAGGAGGCUACUUAGAUUAAUACUCUAGGAUAGUGGACGUUACUCGCAGAAUAAGCACCGGCUAACUCUGUGCCAGCAGCCGCGGUAAUACAGAGGGUGCGAGCGUUAAUCGGAUUUACUGGGCGUAAAGCGUGCGUAGGCGGCUGAUUAAGUCGGAUGUGAAAUCCCUGAGCUUAACUUAGGAAUUGCAUUCGAUACUGGUCAGCUAGAGUAUGGGAGAGGAUGGUAGAAUUCCAGGUGUAGCGGUGAAAUGCGUAGAGAUCUGGAGGAAUACCGAUGGCGAAGGCAGCCAUCUGGCCUAAUACUGACGCUGAGGUACGAAAGCAUGGGGAGCAAACAGGAUUAGAUACCCUGGUAGUCCAUGCCGUAAACGAUGUCUACUAGCCGUUGGGGCCUUUGAGGCUUUAGUGGCGCAGCUAACGCGAUAAGUAGACCGCCUGGGGGAGUACGGUCGCAAGACUAAAACUCAAAUGAAUUGACGGGGGCCCGCACAAGCGGUGGAGCAUGUGGGUUUAAUUCGAUGCAACGCGAGAACCUUACCUGGGCCUUGACAUAGUAAGAACUUUCCAGAGAUGGAUUGGUGCCUUCGGGAACUUACAUACAGGUGCUGCAU
rnacentral:rRNA from 1 species